rnacentral:rRNA from 1 species
GAGGAAUAUUGGACAAUGGAGGCAACUCUGAUCCAGCCAUGCCGCGUGCAGGAAGACUGCCCUAUGGGUUGUAAACUGCUUUUAUACGGGAAGAAACACCCCUACGUGUAGGGACUUGACGGUACCGUAAGAAUAAGCAUCGGCUAACUCCGUGCCAGCAGCCGCGGUAAUACGGAGGAUGCAAGCGUUAUCCGGAAUCAUUGGGUUUAAAGGGUCCGUAGGCGGGCGAUUAAGUCAGAGGUGAAAGUUUGCGGCUCAACCGUAAAAUUGCCUUUGAUACUGGUUGUCUUGAAUCAUUGUGAAGUGGUUAGAAUAUGUAGUGUAGCGGUGAAAUGCAUAGAGAUUACAUAGAAUACCAAUUGCGAAGGCAGAUCACUAACAAUGUAUUGACGCUGAGGGACGAAAGCGUGGGGAGCGAACAGG